AGGAAUAUUGGUCAAUGGACGCAAGUCUGAACCAGCCAUGCCGCGUGCAGGAUGACGGCUCUAUGAGUUGUAAACUGCUUUUGUACGAGGGUAAACGCAGAUACGUGUAUCUGUCUGAAAGUAUCGUACGAAUAAGGAUCGGCUAACUCCGUGCCAGCAGCCGCGGUAAUACGGAGGAUUCAAGCGUUAUCCGGAUUUAUUGGGUUUAAAGGGUGCGUAGGCGGUUUGAUAAGUUAGAGGUGAAAUUUCGGGGCUCAACCCUGAACGUGCCUCUAAUACUGUUGAGCUAGAGAGUAGUUGCGGUAGGCGGAAUGUAUGGUGUAGCGGUGAAAUGCUUAGAGAUCAUACAGAACACCGAUUGCGAAGGCAGCUUACCAAACUAUAUCUGACGUUGAGGCACGAAAGCGUGGGGAGCAAACAGGAUUAGAUACCCUGGUAGUCCACGCAGUAAACGAUGAUAACUCGUUGUCGGCGAUACACAGUCGGUGACUAAGCGAAAGCGAUAAGUUAUCCACCUGGGGAGUACGUUCGCAAGAAUGAAACUCAAAGGAAUUGACGGGGGCCCGCACAAGCGGAGGAACAUGUGGUUUAAUUCGAUGAUACGCGAGGAACCUUACCCGGGCUUGAAAGUUAGCGACGAUUCUUGAAAGAGGAUUUCCCUUCGGGGCGCGAAACUAGGUGCUGCAUGGUUGUCGUCAGCUCGUGCCGUGAGGUGUCGGGUUAAGUCCCAUAACGAGCGCAACCCCUACCGUUAGUUGCCAUCAGGUGAAGCUGGGCACUCUGGCGGGACUGCCGGUGUAAGCCGAGAGGAAGGUGGGGAUGACGUCGAAUCAGCACGGCCCUUACGUCCGGGGCUACACACGUGUUACAAUGGGGGGUACAGAAGGCAGCUACACGGCGACGUGAUGCUAAUCCCUAAAGCCUCUCUCAGUUCGGAUUGGAGUCUGCAACCCGACUCCAUGAAGCUGGAUUCGCUAGUAAUCGCGCAUCAGCCACGGCGCGGUGAAUACGUUCCCG
rnacentral:rRNA from 1 species